GGUGGCGCACAAGAAUGCUAAGCUUUUUAAUGAAUCAUGCCGCCGUCUCCAAAAGAGGAUGAAUAAAUCGCAAUUACAAAAGAGAGAAAACAAUCAAAUCACACGGUUGGGGUUGGGGUUAGGGUUAGGGUCUAGGGUUAGGGGUUAGGGGUUAGGGGUUAGGGUCAGGGGUUAGGGUCAGGGUCAGGGUCGUGACACUGUACCUGUCGUAGCGGUGUCCCAGGGCGGUGAGGUAGGGGUCCUGCACCUCGUAGAUCUCAGAGUCCCUGUCUUGGGGGGCCCCCAGCCGUGCCCCGUGGAACGGCAGGUUCAUGUACUCGGGGAUCUCCUCGUACAGCGGGACGUUCUCGUACUCCACCGAGCCGUCGCCGCUGCUGCUGGCCUCCGCGUCGCUACCGCCGCCGCCCUUCUCCCGCCCGCCGUUGACCUCGCCGGCGUAAGGGGCGGAGCCCUCCGGCGACGCCCCCCCCGCCCGGGACAGCCUCUUGGGCAGCCUCUUGACGGAGAUCCGGAGCUCCAGGAGCUUCCGGAAGGAGAUGCUGCGGCGCGGGUUGGCGGGCUCGCGCGACGACGACGACAGGUCGGCCGCCGAGAAGGACUGCGCCCGCUGCUUCCCGCCCAGCGUGGCGGACGCCGCCGCCGGCGGGGGCAGGGCGCGGCCCUGGGGCGGCGGCACGCUGCUGCGACCGGGGCCCUGCCGGCUGAAGAAGGAGACGCUGGGCCGGGGGAACCGCCACGCCGCCCUCUCCUGGGCGAGCGGCGGCGCCGGGAGGUCCCGGGUGGGGCGCCGGCGUGGGGCGCGGGGGGGGGCCGCGCCGGGGAGACGGGGGCGGGGGCCGGGCCGGCAGGCUGUGUCUCUGGGGCUUCCUGGGGGGGGCGCGGGGGGAGUCCUGGCCCUCGGCCGACAGGGCCUUCCGCUGGCAGCCCAGCCGGGUGUGCUUGGGGAGGCUGUGGGCCACGGGGUAGCGCUCGAAGUCCCCGUAGCCGCCGUCCUCCUCCUCGUCCGCCCGUCCGCCCCCCUGCUUGCCGGCCGCGGGCGGGCGGGGCCCGGGGCCGGGCGGCGGGUCGACGGAGCGGGGGGCGUGUCUGUGCAGGGAGGAGGACUUGUGGCGGUGGGACAGGGAGGUCUGGCGUGGGGGGGGGGACGGGGCGCCGGGCUCCUCGCCGGCGGGGGUUGGGUCUCGCUCGGGCGCCGUGGGCGGCUCGCCUUCAGCGGGCCCCUCGUCAGCCUCCGGGGGCCCCGGACCCCCCCCCACCUCGGGGCCUGCCGGGGGUCCCUCGGCCCCCCCCUCCAGCCCGUCCUGCCUCACCAGGACCGGCUUCUUCGCCCUGCGGGGGUGGGGCACGGGGAGGGGCUUGCUGGGCGGGGCCGGGACCGGGGACAGGGGCGUGGCCGCCGGGCCGGGGGGGGGCGAGGCGCGGCCGUUGGUGUGUGCGUGGCGGCCGUCGGGCUCGUCGUGGGCUUCUUCGGGGGGUUCCGUCGGACUCGGCGCCGGGGGCGGGUCCGGGGGCGGAGACGGAGGAGGAGGAGGAGGAGGAGCGGCGAGGGUUUGGGCGGUUGCCACGGCGACAGUGCUGACACACAGUGCUGUGUCUUCAUGGCCGGUCUCCUGGUGGGGAGCCGUGUCCUCCUCCGCCCUCUCCAGACGUCCCUCCAGCUCCGUCUCCGACUCCGUCCCCUGCAGCUGCUGUGGGGGGGCCCCCGGUGACCCCUGACCCUCUCUGCCGGUCCGGCCCCUGGCCAGAUGCUUCUGCCUUUGGGGCUUAUCCCGGGGCUUGGGGUGCAAGCUGUCCGUCAAUCGACGGCCCUCCUCCGCCUCGCCCUUCUCCUCUUCCUCCUCCUGCGGCCGCCGCCCCUCCUCCUCCUCCCCGCCCCCCACCUCACCGCCCCCCUUCCCCGUCGUCACCGGGCCGACGUGUCCUUCAGUGGCGUUCCCGUUGUGCAGCCCCUCCUCGUCGCACGCAGCGCUCCCGUUAUUCCCGACGUUCCCGUGGUUCCCGUUGAGCAGAGGCGGGAGUGCGGGCUCCGACUCCAGCCCCCCCGGGCGGCAGGCCGGGAGGAUGUAGUCGGACUCGGAGAGGCUGUCCCGCGGCGAGGAUGGGGUCCCAUUCCGGGUGUUGAGGAGGUUGAGGCUCCCGUCUGAGUGUUCCUGGGACUGGGGGUGGGAGGACGCUGGUUUGGCCUGGGGUACUAGCACACAUGGUUUGGGGGCGAGGGCGGGUUUGGCUCUCUGCAGAGUACCAGGGGAGGGUGCGGGGCUGUGGACGGCGGGAGCCAGGGAGAGCAGGCCUGGCUUUGGGGCGAUGGGAGGGGGAGAGGGUUUGGUGGUAGCAGGGAGUUUUGGUUUGGGAGCUAAAGGAGGUUUCUUCACACCUGGAUCGAAUGAGAGAGAAUGAAUGUUUUAAAAAUAAUGUUGAUGUGUUAUUAUUGCAUGGCAGAUACAAACGUGAGGACAUCCGCCAACCCUGUCGUCAUUUGAGAAAUAGACAGCUGCAUGGGGCUUGGUUCAAAAGGUCACCGUUCGGGUUACAGCCGGCUAAUGAGGCAAGAAUCGGGCAUGG
ensembl:lncRNA